rfam:Oryza glaberrima chromosome 8 Oglab08_0154_7, whole genome shotgun sequence.
UAUAAGUAUAGUUCUGCAUAUCCAAUAUUUGACCGUUCGUUUUAUUUGAAAUUUUUUUAUGAUUAGUAUUUUGUUGUUAUUAGACGAUAGUACAUGAAUAGUAGUACUUUAUGUGUGACUUUUUUCUAUUUUUUCAUAUUUUUUUAAUAAGACGGACGUUCAAACGUUGAAUACGGAUUUCCACGGCUGCACUUAUU